CUUAGAAUUCGAAGAUUGGGGCUCAAGUUCCAAGUCUACUACUUAGCACUUAUGUGACCUUAGACGAGUCAUUUAACGACAAUCUCUUCAUUCAGAAAACAGGAGGAAACUGUCUUAUCUAUUCCUGUAGGCUGUUGUGCAGCUCAGAUGAAUUAACAGACACACAUACACACGUGCUUUACAAACUGUAAAGAGACCGCAACUCUGUGUCCAAUGACUGUGAUACCAGUUUAAAAUUUUUUACCAUGGCCAAGCCUCAUGGCCACACCCUCCAAACCCAGUGCCUAUGUGCUAUUUUACCUACAAGGCUGACAGGUCAAAAAACUUUCCUGUUUAAGCUUAUCAUUUCUUUUCACAGGAAGAAGAUGCUCUGAAGGCGGUACACCUGAGGAAGGGGAGAGAAAUGGUUCUUCAUUUGCAGACCAGGGCGAGCUGGGGUACGGUGUUCAGGAGGCCCCAGCCUGGCAUCUGGUACUGUAUAACAGAGCAGUAUUCCCCCAUCCCAGAAGGAACCAGGGUGGGACAAUACCCAACAGCCCCACAAGGCGAGAUGAGAGAAACAAAGAGACUCAGACAGACAAAGAGAGAAGGGCAUCCCUCUCCGCACGGAAAACUCACGCUCAGAGUUGUCAAGAGAACAGCAGCGACCGCGUCUCCACCAGACAGCACAGUAUUGAACUCCACACCCAGAACCUCUCUCCCUUUGGCGCGUGCGCCUUUGGAAGAGGACUAUGGAGGGAACCGAGAACAGUGCAACGUCCAAACCACCCUCCCGGGCUCAGCGGAGAGGCAUAAACCACACCCGUAGCUUGGCCGCGCAGACGCACAGCCUUCCUUUCUACAGCGGCUUACAGUUCACGACGGUGGUUCUCUUCAGUGUAAUAAUGUGCACUUUAGCCAACCCAGUGCGCAGUCAAACCUGACAGGCCGAGGUGAAGAAACACAUGUGGCCAGAGCGUGAUGCCGAGCGCACAGCACACUCGGUUAGCAUCGCCAUUGUUUCUACUUAGCAGCCGUGAGGUCAGUGGGAGGUGGCUGUCACAAGGUACAUUAACCUUGGUGGCCGUCUGCUGCAACCAGAGUGACCCAGGUCUGCCCUGGACAGUCCUGGUGUUCUACUGUUGAGCCAACACAAUUGUGAAUGGUGCCCCUUGCCACUUUCACGUGUG